rnacentral:rRNA from 1 species
UACGGGGGGGGCAAGCGUUGUUCGGAAUUACUGGGCGUAAAGGGCUCGUAGGCGGCCAACUAAGUCAGACGUGAAAUCCCUCGGCUUAACCGGGGAACUGCAUCUGAUACUGGAUGGCUUGAGUUCGGGAGAGGGAUGCGGAAUUCCAGGUGUAGCGGUGAAAUGCGUAGAUAUCAGGAAGAACACCCGUGGCGAAGGCGGCUCUCUGGAACGCAACUGACGCUGAGACGCGAAAGCGUGGGGAGCAAACAGG